rnacentral:rRNA from 1 species
UACGUAGGGUCCGAGCGUUGUCCGGAAUUAUUGGGCGUAAAGGGCUCGUAGGCGGUUUGUCGCGUCGGGAGUGAAAACACGGGGCUUAACCCCGUGCCUGCUUCCGAUACGGGCAGACUAGAGUUAUGCAGGGGAGAACGGAAUUCCUGGUGUAGCGGUGAAAUGCGCAGAUAUCAGGAGGAACACCGGUGGCGAAGGCGGUGCUCUGGGCCGAUACUGACGCUGAGGAGCGAAAGCAUGGGUAGCGAACAGG